AAUCAACGCUGGCGGCGUGCCCUCAGACAUGCAAGUCGAACGAUUAAAGCUCUCUUCGGAGAGUGCAUAAAGUGGCGCACGGGUGAGUAACACGUAAGUAAUCUACCUUUGAGUGGGGAAUAACAGUCGGAAACGGCUGCUAAUACCGCAUAAUGCAGCGGCACCGCAAGGUGACAGUUGUUAAAGGAGCAAUCCGCUUAAAGAGGAGCCUGCGGCAGAUUAGCUUGUUGGUAGGGUAAUGGCCUACCAAGGCGACGAUCUGUAGCCGGCCUGAGAGGGCGGUCGGCCACACUGACACUGAAUAACGGGUCAGACUCCUACGGGAGGCAGCAGUCGGGAAUUUUGGGCAAUGGGCGAAAGCCUGACCCAGCAACGCCGCGUGAAGGAUGAAAUUUUUCGGAAUGUAAACUUCGCAAGAAUGGGAAGAAUAAGUUCAGGCUAAUACCCUGAAUGAUGACGGUACCAUUUGUAAGCUCCGGCUAACUCCGUGCC
rnacentral:rRNA from 1 species